rnacentral:rRNA from 1 species
AGAGUUUGAUCAUGGCUCAGAUUGAACGCUGGCGGCAUGCCUUACACAUGCAAGUCGAACGGCAGCACGGGAGCAAUCCUGGUGGCGAGUGGCGAACGGGUGAGUAAUAUAUCGGAACGUGCCCAGUCGUGGGGGAUAACGUAGCGAAAGCUACGCUAAUACCGCAUACGAUCUAUGGAUGAAAGCGGGGGAUCGCAAGACCUCGCGCGAUUGGAGCGGCCGAUAUCAGAUUAGCUAGUUGGUGGGGUAAAGGCCCACCAAGGCGACGAUCUGUAGCUGGUCUGAGAGGACGACCAGCCACACUGGGACUGAGACACGGCCCAGACUCCUACGGGAGGCAGCAGUGGGGAAUUUUGGACAAUGGGCGCAAGCCUGAUCCAGCAAUGCCGCGUGCAGGACGAAGGCCUUCGGGUUGUAAACUGCUUUUGUACGGAACGAAACGGUCCCUUCUAAUACAAGGGGCUAAUGACGGUACCGUAAGAAUAAGCACCGGCUAACUACGUG